GUAGGUGGCAAGCGUUGUCCGGAAUUAUUGGGCGUGAAGCGCGCGCAGGCGGUCCUUUAAGUCUGAUGUGAAAGCCCACGGCUCAACCGUGGAGGGUCAUUGGAAACUGGGGGACUUGAGUACAGAAGAGGAAAGCGGAAUUCCAAGUGUAGCGGUGAAAUGCGUAGAGAUUUGGAGGAACACCAGUGGCGAAGGCGGCUUUCUGGUCUGUAACUGACGCUGAGGCGCGAAAGCGUGGGGAGCAAACAGGGAUUAGAUACCCUGGUAGUCCACGCCGUAAACGAUGAGUGCUAAGUGUUAGGGGGUUUCCCGCCCCUUAGUGCUGCAGCUAACGCAUUAAGCACUCCGCCUGGGGAGUACGGCCGCAAGGCUG
rnacentral:rRNA from 1 species